GACGAACGCUGGCGGCGUGCCUAACACAUGCAAGUCGAACGGAAAGGCCCUGCUUUUGUGGGGUGCUCGAGUGGCGAACGGGUGAGUAACACGUGAGUAACCUGCCCCUGACUUUGGGAUAUCUUCAGGAAACUGGGGCUAAUACCGGAUAGGAGCUCCUGCUGCAUGGUGGGGGUUGGAAAGUUUCGGCGGUUGGGGAUGGACUGGCGGCUUAUCAGCCUGUUGGUGGGGUAGUGGCUUACCAAGUCUUUGACGGGUAGCCGGCCUGAGAGGGUGACCGGCCACAUUGGGACUGAGAUACGGCCCAGGCUCAUACGGGGGACAGCGGUGGAGACUAUUGCACAAUGGGCGGAAGACUGAAGCAGCGACGCCGCGUGCGAGAUGACGGCCUUCGGGUUGUAAGCCGCUUUCGCCUGUGACGAAGCGUGAGUGACGGUAAUGGGUAAAGAAGCACCGGCUAACUACGUG
rnacentral:rRNA from 1 species